UUCCGGUUGAUCCCGCCGGACCUUACUGCUAUCGGGAUGAGAUUAAGCCAUGCAAGUCGUGCGUUCUUAAGCUAUGUUGAGAGCGCGGCGAACUGCUCCGUAACACGUAGUUAACCUACCCUCGGGAUGGGGAUAACCCCGGGAAACUGGGAUUAAUACCCAAUAGAUGAUUAUACCUGGAAUGGCUUAUCAUCGAAAGAGUCUGGAAACAUGCUUCCAGCGUCGCCCAAGGAUGGGACUGCGUCCGAUCAGGUUGUUGGUGGGGUAACGGCUCACCAAGCCUAUAACCGGUACGGGCCCUGAGAGGGGGAGCCCGGAGAUGGAAACUGAGAAAAUGUUCCAGGCCCUACGGGGUGCAGCAGGCGCGAAACCUCCACAAUGCGCGAAAGCGUGAUGGGGUUAUCCCGAGUGCCGUCCGAUGAGGAUGGCUUUUCAUCGGUGUAAGGAUCCGAUGGAAUAAAGGGGGGGCAAGACUGGUGUCAGCCGUCGCGGUAAUACCAGCCCCCUGAGUGGUAGGGACGAUUAUUUGGCCUAAAGCGUUCGUAGCCGGCUUAGCAAGUCUUUUGUUAAAUCCAACGAUUCAAUCGUUGGGCCGCAAAAGAUACUGUUAUGCUAGAGGACGGGAGAGGUCGACGGUAGUCCAGGGGUAGGGGUGAAAUCCUAUAAUCCUUGGAGGACCACCAGUGGCGAAGGCGGUCGACUAGAACGUGCCUGACGGUGAGGGACGAAAGCUGGGGGAGCGAACCGGAUUAGAUACCCGGGUAGUCCCAGCUGUAAACGAUGCGGGCUAGGUGUUGGGGCAGCCACGAGCUGCUCCAGUGCCGCAGAGAAGUUGUUAAGCCCGCCGCCUGGGGAGUACGGCCGCAAGGCUGAAACUUAAAGGAAUUGGCGGGGGAGCACCACAAGGGGUGAAGGCUGCGGUUUAAUUGGAGUCAACGCCGGGAACCUUACCGGGGCUGACAGCAGAGUGAAGGCCAGACUGAAGAUCUUGCCAGACAAGCUGAGAGGAGGUGCAUGGCCGUCGCCAGUUCGUGCCGUGAGGUGUCCUGUUAAGUCAGGCAACGAACGAGACCCCCGCUUUUAGUUGCCAUCGGAUUCCAACGGAAUGCCGGGCACACUAACGGGACUGCCAUCGAUAAGAUGGAGGAAGGGGGGGGCAACGGCAGGUCAGUAUGCCCCGAAUGCCUCGGGCCACACGCGGCCUGCAAUGGUAGGUACAGAGGGAUCCGACCUUGAAAAAGGAAGGCAAUCCCUAAACCCUAUCUCAGUCGGGAUUGAGGGCUGAAACUCGCCCUCAUGAACAUGGAAUCCCUAGUAACCGCGUGUCAUCAUCGCGCGGUGAAUACGUCCCCGCUCCUUGCACACACCGCCCGUCGCUCCAUCCAAGUCGGGUCUAGAUGAGGCUUUGUCUAAUUGGCAAGGUCGAAUCUGGGUUCGGUAAGGGGGGAGAAGUCGUAACAAGGUAGCC
rnacentral:rRNA from 1 species